AUUUAAUUGCCUAUAAAAAUUUUUUAAUGGCGUAGCUUAGACAUCUUUUAAAGAAAAAUUUUAAAAUAAAUAUUUCACAAACUUUUAUAAAGGUCUUGUUUUUUUGAGAGUUUGUGUUCCAUUUACACAAAUAGCUGGCCAGUAAUCUUUGUGUGAAAGUUAAUCGUCCAAUUAAAAGGUUUAUAGAACCAGAAUACUAACUCAAGG